rnacentral:rRNA from 1 species
GCGCAGCAGGCGCGAAAUAGUCUACAAUGGACGAAAGUCUGAUAGUGCGACGCCGUGUGUGCGAUUAAUUCCUUCGGGAUGUAAAGCACUUUUCUAUGAGAUAAAAGCUCUUUAGGUUAAUAGCUUAUUGAGACGGAUAUUAUUAUAGGAAUAAGCUCCGGCUAACUCCGUGCCAGCAGCCGCGGUAAUACGGAAGGAGCGAGCGUUGUCCGGAUUUACUAGGCGUAAAGGGCUAGUAGGCGACUAAUUAAGUUAUAUGUUAAAUCCCACGGCUCAACUGUGGUCCUGCAUGUAAUACUGGUUAGAUAGAGUACUGUAGAGGAAGGCAGAAUUCCUGGAGUAGCGGUGGAAUGCGCAGAUAUCAGGAAGAAUAACCAAAAGCGAAGGCAGCCUUCUGGGCAGUUACUGACGCUGAAUAGCGAAGGUGUGGGUAGCGAACAGGAUUA